UGAAGCCAUAGCAAGAAUCAGUGAAAGCCACAGCAGAGAUUGGGUGGAGCAUAAUUUUUUCUAUGUCUCGGCGCCUCUAUGGAUGUCAUAUUUAGAUCAGAUGCAAUCUGAGCCUUGUUCUGAAUUUCAAAAUCCCCUUUGACAACACCUGCACAGCUGAGCAAUCAAGGGCCUUCUGACUAAGGGCUGAAUUAUAGUGAACACUACCAUUCAGAGACUUUGAAACAGAUUGAUGAAUGAACCACAUGCAUUGUGUCAGAGGAAUCUAGCUGGAGCACCUAUUUAGCAGCCAGGACACAUAGAUGUACCUGUACAGUUGAUACAGAUAAUCUCAACGGCACAUUUCUAAAUGAUGGCCAAAAAAAUCUAAUAAAGACACUGUCAGUUUAAAACUUUUUGAAAGAAAUCCAGACCAGAAACAAAGGAUAUUGAUUUUUAAGCUCCUCCAAAUGUAAAAGGGGUUUUAUUGAAACCAAGACCAGGAUACACCCAAGGAUAUUUAAUAUUACACCCCUUCAACAUAAAAUUUUGAAUUUUAGUUUGCCUAUCUAGUCAAGAACAUGGAUUUUUUUUGACAUUUGAUACACUUUAUAAUGUUAUAUUGACAUUUUUUCAAGAUUUCUUUACUGUAAACUAUGUAUUUCAGCAAAAAGUACAUUUACAGAUGAUUUUUCAAAAAUUGCUUUAAAAAUACAAUUGAAAUAUUUAGAUCAUGUCUCAUAAAUGGUUAAUCACAGUUACCACAGAAACCAAAUAUUUGUUUUAAAGAAGUUAGGUACAAAAAAAAAUGUUGUGUCUUUCAGUAUUUUAGCUAAUGGCCACUCCUACAGUUUUCUUCAUACAAGCUAAUCACAUUGACUAAAUUGUAUAGGCAAAUACAAUAUUUUUGGAGAUGUUGUCAUGGUAACCAGAUACAAAUCACAAAAGCAUAUUUAAAAAAUAUAUUUUCAUGCAUUUACAAUAAACUGUGAAAAUAAUAUAUGUAUGUUAGUCAAUAAUUAUUUUGUAUUUUAUGGAGAUUUUGUAAAGUCAAUUUAUUUAAAAAAGCAUUUCCAGAAUAAUUUGUUACCAUGGUUACAAAAAUUUAUGAGAAAUCCACUGGUUUUAUCUAAUAUUUGCAAGGUUUAGGAGAACAUUUUUUAUCUUAUAUUAUCAAUUUUUUUUUUGUGCUUGUGGUAUUUUUUCCACAACAUACUCUGAAAAUGAUAUAUUUUGGUAUUUUCUUGAAAAUUGAAUUUUUGUUAUUUUCUGUUGCCAUGGUUACAGAAUAUUUUUGAAAAACCCAUGGGUUUUGUUUUGUUUUAUUAAAAUUAGGAUUGUGGUCUUUCUAUCCCAUGUUUUCACUUUUCUUUAACAUGUGGGAUUUUUUUUAACUAUGCUCUUAAAAAUGGUUAUUAUUGUGAAAAAUGAAUUUUUGUGACAUUUUGUUGCCAUGGUAACAGAAUAUUAUUUAAAAACCCAUGGGUUUUAUUUAAUUUUAUUGAAAUUAAGAAA